ACAUUUUAACGCGGGAGGGAAACUCAAGGAUCGCCUGAACCAACUGAGCCAGCCCAUAAUCCCGAAUUCAGGAAUUUGUCACGUCACUUGACCUCAGAAUGAAAUUAAAUUUUGAUCCCUUUGAGAUCUCUUAACGCACAAAGUCAGGCUAUCACUACGAGGGGUGUCCCGACCGCGACUGUAGAAAAACUAGUUGGUGCGGAACUCGAGUCUCUUCCGCCCACCAUGGGGGGCCGCACCCGUCAGGUCCAGCGAGGAGCCGGGGCGCGAGUUUGGGGGCGCAGCCCGGCCCGGCGGGGGCGGCGAGCGCGCGUCCCCCCGCCCGCUCAGGCAGCGUCGAGGCGCGAGCAGCUCAGCCAGCCUUGCAGAGGGAGCUCUCGGCAGCUCUGGGGUCCCUCUGCUCGCAGCCGCAGCAGCGCCGCCUGCGCCACUCGGCGGAGACGGAGACCAGCGGCGGCGGCGCGCGGACCGGGAGCGACCGCCGAGCAGCCGGGCGGCAGCGGUACGCUCGCAGAGCGGCCGGGAUGCACCUGCGGAUUCCACCCAACCUGCGAUGAAGCUCACCGACCGCAGACUGGAAGAUGUUCUGACGACCCAGGGAGGAGAGCCUUUGCUUUGAAAACAUAAGGAAGAAGAGUGGAAGACAGGAGAAAAGGUAAGAUUAGAAGAGGAAAGAAGAAAAACAGGAGGACCCAGUGACCACCAGUAAACUAUACCCUGGACUACCUCAGCCUGGUCCCUUUUUUGCAAUGUGCAUUUAUGUUUUGUCUGGGUGGAACCCCAACAAUGAUGGCUGAGGCAUGGCUAUAGCCUUGAUGGGCUUGAUGGACGGGGCACUCCUCAGUGUAUCACACUUCCUCUGUUCCCCCAGAGGCUGGCACAGGCUCGGCAGGACACCUGGGCAUAGGCUUUCCCUACCCUGGUACCUUCGACUUCUGAUGGUGUCAUCAGCCCCCCACACCCAUCACAUGGGGCAGCAGGAAUGAGUGGCUCCCUGAACCUGUGUGACAGCAGGGUAGGAGGUGGGGUGAGUGCCCCGUGGAAAGCACUUGUGAGGCUGUGUUUGUUGGCAGAGAGAAAGGUACAAGAGGGAGGAUAGGCUCUCCCUGCCCUCCACUAUCUCACAAACAUGGGCCUAGGGGUAGGAGACCAUUCAGCCCGACCUCAAGUCAUUGAUGGAGAGGGUUUGAGUGGCUGUUCUGGGGUUGAUCCACAUUGCUCUGAGCUAGGUAGGCUUGAUGAGGCAAAGGCCUGAGGCUCUUUUUGCCUUGGCCUUGACAGUACUUCACCUGUACCCAGCUUUGCUCACGGUAUCCUAAUUCUGCCUCUUGACCCUCACACCCACCCUCAGCUAGAGCUGAAUACUAGGCUGUGGUCUUACGGUGCUCCUUAUAGAGGACAGAGAGUUAGGAACCCUAUCCCUUCUCAGCACUGGAAAGCAGGCCAUUCAGAUUUUUGACAGCCCCAUUUGACCCCUGGCUGGGUUAUUUUUCCAUCCUCUACUUCUUGCCCAGCCCCUGUCUUGUGUGGAUUGAGCUGUGAGCUUGUGAUAGCCCAGUCACCCCUGUCUGCACCAGGACCUGGUCAGUGUUCACUUCCUCUUUCCCCAUCACACAGGCUACGCUUUGAAUCCAAGUGGACAGUCCUGCCUGCCAGUGGGCCUCUUUGGGGCCUCAGGCCUGAGGGGCUCCUUGGGGUAAUUCUGGGACUGCAACAUUCCUGCAGGGGCCCUUGGGGGCAGGCCCAAGCUGUAGCCAACUUUGGGUGCUGCCUUGGUCUCCCCAUCACUUGUUCGCUUUCUCCACCUCCUGCCACCCUAGCCCACCACCCAAAAAGUUGAGCUGCACACCACCCACCAUCCCCUCCAUGCCACCCUUCAGAGUUACGGAAAGAGCACAUAGCUGUGCCAAUGUGCUGAGGGCUGUCUGCCUGCCCCCACCCCCAUCCCAGCCCCCCGACUCUUCUGGAAUGAGCCACCUGCAUCCACACACAGGUGUUUCCUGUGCUCCUUCCUGUUGGCCGUUUUUCUGCUCAGCUUGGCUUCCCCAGCAGGUGGUUAAAGACCCAGCCAAACCUCCUCAUACCCAGCUCUGAAACACUGGGGAGCAGGACUCCCUAGGGAUCUGGGUCACCCCCUUCUCUCCCCCAGGGUGUGGGGGGGUUGUUGGCACCUCAUUGGCUCCUCUUGAGUCCAGGCACACACACUUUCCCCGGUGUCCCACUACUGUGCUAACACUGAGAUACCAGAGUGGGCUCAGGGAGUGGUAAAGGCCCUGUUUUCCUUGCCCCUGGAUAAAGAAAGCUCCAGAGGAUGAGGGGAAGGGUAGACAGCCUGUUUGUCUAGCCUUGGGUGUGGGCCUCCCUCGGGACCUCUUUGGAACAGGCCUGCCAUCCUGAAAUCCCAUCCCCGCCUCCACCCCCUUCCCACCAAAACAGAAUUCUUAACCUUCUGGGGUUAACACACUCACGUGCCAGGCACCUCUGGGAAGAGGUGAGACCUCUCCCUGGAGCCCUGCUUCCUGAAGCAGUGGUUGGCCUGCCGCUGGGGGUGGGGAGCUCAGGGUUCAGUUGGGUUUGUUAUUACAGAGAGGAGAGGCAGCUUGGAGAGAGAAAAGGCUUGCUGUUUAGGGUCACGGGGGCAGCCAUCCGUGUUUCCUGCCUCCCAGGCCUCAGCUCUUCCCCUCUGCAAGGAUCUGUUCCUUCUUCCUAUCCAGCCCUCAAGGAGCUCCCUGUGCUUAGCUCAGCCACCUUGGUAGGAAGCUGCCCAGGCUGGGCGAAGAUCCAGGAGCCUGGCAUUCCCUGACGGGGUUCUGCUGCCCCCUUCUGGCCAGAAGCUCCAGGUCCCACCACGCUUUCUCCUGCCAGCUUCCUCUGCCUCCAGGACCCCGGAGCUAGCUGCUAGGGAGCCAGCCAUUCCUGGGACUGGCACCUCUGGGCUUUCUCUAGGACAACUCCGGUUUGGCUCCAGCCUGGACCCAGACUGGGCCUCCUCAGUAACACCCUACCACCACCCUCUUCCUCUGCUCUCUUUUCCAACCCCAGCUCCAGCCUCUGGGUUCUCUUUUGCCUGAAUUUCCAGGGCUAAAGCAGAUGCCAUUGUCACAUUUGGG